UCGCCGCGCCGCGGCGCCGGCAUCGAGCGAAGCAGAAGAUGCGACGCGAGAGGGAAUCCGGUGCGAAUCCGGGACUGUCCCGCAGCGGUAUGCAGGAACGAACACCGUCUCGUCAGUAGACAAGCACUGGUCUCAAACAGAUUGGGACUGGGAAGCGACGGUCAGUAGGAGCACCGGCAGGUGCGCGCCUGCGAGUCCGAAGACCUGCCAACUGUGCCGGGCGCGCC
rnacentral:ncRNA from 16 species